rnacentral:rRNA from 1 species
CCUACGGGAGGCGGCGGUGGGGAAUAUUGCACAAUGGGGGAAACCCUGAUGCAGCAACGCCGCGUGAGUGAUGAAGGUUUUCGGAUCGUAAAGCUCUGUCUUUGGGGAAGAUAAUGACGGUACCCAAGGAGGAAGCCGCGGCUAACUACGUGCCAGCGGCCGCGGUAAU